UGAGGAAUAUUGGUCAAUGGACGAGAGUCUGAACCAGCCAAGUAGCGUGAAGGAUGAAGGUUCUAUGGAUUGUAAACUUCUUUUAUACGGGAAUAAACGGAUCCACGCGUGGAUUUUUGCAUGUACCGUAUGAAUAAGGAUCGGCUAACUCCGUGCCAGCAGCCGCGGUAAUACGGAGGAUCCGAGCGUUAUCCGGAUUUAUUGGGUUUAAAGGGAGCGUAGAUGGGUUGUUAAGUCAGUUGUGAAAGUUUGCGGCUCAACCGUAAAAUUGCAAUUGAUACUGGCAGUCUUGAGUACAGUUGAGGUAGGCGGAAUUCGUGGUGUAGCGGUGAAAUGCUUAGAUAUCACGAAGAACUCCGAUUGCGAAGGCAGCUUACUAACCUGUAACUGACAUUGAUGCUCGAAAGUGUGGGUAUCAAACA
rnacentral:rRNA from 1 species